GCCAGGGUGGCAGAAUCUGGUAACGCGCCGGUCUUGAGUUUUCAAAACGUCAAGAGCUGAUUAGUGAUGCGAAAAGGCGCGACAGGUAAACCGGUGCCCUCGCGGGCUUUAGGGUUCAAAUCCCUACCCUGGCG
rnacentral:tRNA from 1 species